GAUGAACGCUGGCGGCGUGCCUAAUACAUGCAAGUCGAGCGAACAGACGAGGAGCUUGCUCCUCUGACGUUAGCGGCGGACGGGUGAGUAACACGUGGAUAACCUACCUAUAAGACUGGGAUAACUUCGGGAAACCGGAGCUAAUACCGGAUAAUAUAUUGAACCGCAUGGUUCAAUAGUGAAAGACGGUUUUGCUGUCACUUAUAGAUGGAUCCGCGCCGCAUUAGCUAGUUGGUAAGGUAACGGCUUACCAAGGCAACGAUGCGUAGCCGACCUGAGAGGGUGAUCGGCCACACUGGAACUGAGGCACGGGCCAGACUCCUACGGGAGGCAGCAGUAGGGAAUCUUCCGCAAUGGGCGAAAGCUUGACGGAGCAACGCCGCGUGAGUGAUGAAGGUCUUCGGAUCGUAAAACUCUGUUAUUAGGGAAGAACAAAUGUGUAAGUAACUAUGCACGUCUUGACGGUACCUAAUCAGAAAGCCACGGCUAACUACGUG
rnacentral:rRNA from 1 species